AAAAAUAUAGUUUUUCAUUGGCCAAUUAUUUUUGCCUACGUAGACACUUUAUCUAAGGCUUAUAUCCUCUUUUUAUCACUUGUUUGAUUUUAAUCCGAAAACAAGACAUUGCUGCUUUAAAAUUGAAAUAAAAUUGAUUAAGUCUCGAGUAGAGGCUUUCAAAUCAAAUUAGGAUUCAUUUUUUGAAAACCGAUGGCUUAAUA
rnacentral:lncRNA from 1 species